AUUGAACGCUGGCGGCAGGCCUAACACAUGCAAGUCGAGCGGAUGAAGGGAGCUUGCUCCUGGAUUCAGCGGCGGACGGGUGAGUAAUGCCUAGGAAUCUGCCUGGUAGUGGGGGAUAACGUCCGGAAACGGGCGCUAAUACCGCAUACGUCCUGAGGGAGAAAGUGGGGGAUCUUCGGACCUCACGCUAUCAGAUGAGCCUAGGUCGGAUUAGCUAGUUGGUGGGGUAAAGGCCUACCAAGGCGACGAUCCGUAACUGGUCUGAGAGGAUGAUCAGUCACACUGGAACUGAGGCACGGUCCAGACUCCUACGAGAGGCAGCAGUGGGGAAUAUUGGACAAUGGGCGAAAGCCUGAUCCAGCCAUGCCGCGUGUGUGAAGAAGGUCUUCGGAUUGUAAAGCACUUUAAGUUGGGAGGAAGGGCAGUAAGUUAAUACCUUGCUGUUUUGACGUUACCAACAGAAUAAGCACCGGCUAACUUCGUG
rnacentral:rRNA from 1 species